rnacentral:rRNA from 1 species
ACGGAGGGUGCAAGCGUUGUCCGGAUUUAUUGGGUUUAAAGGGUACGUAGGCGGACUAAUAAGUCAGUGGUGAAAUCUAGCAGCUUAACUGUUAACGUGCCAUUGAUACUGUUGGUCUUGAGUAUAACUGAGGUAGUUGGAAUGCGUAGUGUAGCGGUGAAAUGCUUAGAUAUUACGCAGAACACCUAUUGCGAAGGCAGAUUACUAAGUUAUAACUGACGCUGAGGUACGAAAGCGUGGGGAGCGAACAGG